UACGUAGGGUGCAAGCGUUGUCCGGAAUUAUUGGGCGUAAAGAGCUCGUAGGCGGUCUGUCGCGUCUGCUGUGAAAACUCAGGGCUUAACCCUGAGCUUGCAGUGGGUACGGGCAGACUAGAGUGCGGUAGGGGAGACUGGAAUUCCUGGUGUAGCGGUGAAAUGCGCAGAUAUCAGGAGGAACACCGGUGGCGAAGGCAGCGCGCUGGGACGGUACUGACGCUGAGGAGCGA
rnacentral:rRNA from 1 species